rnacentral:misc_RNA from 1 species
UCCGGCUUAUCACCGGCAGUUCCCUUAGAGUCCCCAGCAUAACCUGAUGGUAACUAAGGAUGAGGGUUGCGCUCGUUGCGGGACUUAACCCAACAUCUCACGACACGAGCUGACGACAGCCAUGCAACACCUGUGUUCUACCCAACUAAAUGCGAGGUUAGUCUCCUAUCCUCUCUGUAGACAUGUCAAGGCCUGGUAAGGUUCUUCGCGUUGCAUCGAAUUAAACCACAUGCUCCACCGCUUGUGCGGGUCCCCGUCAAUUCCUUUGAGUUUUAAUCUUGCGACCGUACUCCCCAGGCGGGAUGCUUAUCGCGUUAGCUACAACACCGACCCGUACGGGCCGACAUCCAGCAUCCAUCGUUUACGGUGUGGACUAC